GCUGUCAUACCGAGUGUCACACGCGUGAGUAAAAAUAGUUAUUUUCUACCGAGUUUUCUUAAACCUAGUGAAUUCAUAUUGAAUUAAAAGAUAUAUACUAAACUAAAACUAAACUAAGUUACCUAAAGCAUCUAUAACGCAAGUUAUUCCAAGCACCGAUAUCCAGAAUCCAUGUUUGCGAAACAUUACAAAGUGGAUCAUUAAUUAGCAUUGGAUAUUAGUUGGCAUCACAGGAAGGAGAGGAAGAUCUACCGUCAGGUACCGGAUUACCGUCGGUGUAGUAUAAACAGUAAACGAAAUUUGUAAUCCUCCUAAUAAUAAAUAUUGGAUUCACAAAUACGGAUUUCUUUCUUCGUUCUGUUGGUGCGCAACAGGUUGACCUAAUUUGAAUUUGGGGUGGACCAAUUUCAGAAGUGUGGUUGGUAAAGCGGGCGAUGCAGGCGUGAACGGUUUAUGCUUGCACCAUCCAUGAAGACAGUCGCCUAAAUGUAGAUAAUGACACGACUGACUGAGGGUUCUUCAAGACUGCAAAAAUAUGACUACGCUUAUAUCGAUCAGCUAAACUGAAGUAUUUUUUUACAAAAUCUGUUAAAUCCUUUAAAAAAUUUCUAUCAAUUUAAU